UCACGGCAGCACGGGGGCCCCUGGUGGCGAGUGGCGAACGGGGGGCUCGGAACGUAUCCUUAAGUGGGGGAUAACGAAAAGAUGCGCUAAUACCGCAUAAUCUCUGAGGAGAAAAGCAGGGGAUCGCAAGACCUUGCGCUUUUGGAGCGGCCGAUGUCUGAUUAGCUAGUUGGUGAGGUAAAGGCUUACCAAGGCUUCGAUCAGUAGCUGGUCUGAGAGGACGACCAGCCACACUGGGACUGAGACACGGCCCAGACUCCUACGGGAGGCAGCAGUGGGGAAUUUUGGACAAUGGGGGCAACCCUGAUCCAGCCAUGCCGCGUGAGUGAAGAAGGCCUUCGGGUUGUAAAGCUCUUUCAGCCGGAACGAAACGGUCACGGUUAAUAUUGGACACGUCGGUACCGGAAGAAGAAGCACCGGCUAACUACGUGCCAGCAGCCGCGGUAAUACGUAGGUGCGAGCGUUCGGAAUUACUGGGCGUAAAGCGUGCGCACGCGGUUUUGUAAGUCAGAUGUGAAAUCCGGGCUUAACCUGGGAACUGCGUUUGAAACUAC
rnacentral:rRNA from 1 species